UUGGCCUCACUCCCUUUCUUAUACAGCCCAGACUUUAUCCUUAUUUCAAAUAUUAUCUUGAUGGUACCUAUAACCCUCCUGCCUUUCUGCACUUAGUCUUACCUGGAAAACACCCAAACAUGAACUUGAUUUCUACUGUCACUCCAUCCAAGCAGAUGAAUCCUAAAAUAUGAAGCUGAUUUAUUUCAAAACAAAAGAAGUAACAUUAAAUUAAAAACUUCUUAUAAGUACCCCCGGAGGAAAGGGACUGAGGCACAGUGUCCAGAGCAAGACCAAAUCUACAGCCAUUAGUUUCCAUCCUGGAAACAAGGAAAAGAGAAAUAACUAAGAUAUAUAUUGUAUAUUUUCUGAAACAACCACUAUAAAAUUAAUCUUCAUAAGAUCACUCAAAAUGAAGCUUCUAUUAUGGUCUUGCAUCUUGUGUGUUGCUUUUACAAAGGCAAGUAAAUAGACUUCUAAAAUUAUAGCCACAGUAUAACCAUUGAAUAAUUGUAGAUAGGGAGGGAUUCAUGUUAAUGACAUAAGUUAUUAUAGUCUUGAUAACAGUGCAGCAGAGAGACAUGUUAAUAGGCAUGAGUUUUGUUGUAACAAACUUUUCUUUAAAAAAAAAGUUUAUAUAUUUUGAGAGAACGAGAGCACAUAGCAGUGCAGGGAGGAGAAAAGAGAGACAGAAGACAGAAUCCCAAGCAGGCUCUGCGAAAGUCCUACACACGGGGCUGGAUCCCAGGAACAGAGA